UGACCACAAUUACGUUGCCUCA
rnacentral:miRNA from 1 species